rnacentral:rRNA from 1 species
GGCAGAGCUGAUAGUGAUCCUAAUCAAACCUCCGAGAAGAACUUCUAAGUUAUGUUUAAAGCAGCCCGUACCGCAAACCGACACAGGUGGGUGGGAUGAAUAUUCUAAGGCGCUCGGGUGAGCCGUGGAGAAGGAACUAGGCAAAUUGACGCUGUAACUUCGGGAUAAAGCGUACCCUCUACGUAAGUAGAAGGUCUCAGUAAAAUGGUGCAGCCAACUGUUUAGCAAAAACACAGGGCCCUGCAAAAUCGAAAGAUGACGUAUAGAGCCUGAUACCUGCCCGGUGCUGGAAGGUUAAGGAAGGGUGUUCGUCGCAAGACAAAGCUCCUGACUGAAGCCCCAGUAAACGGCGGCCGUAACAAUAACGGUCCUAAGGUAGCGAAAUUCCUUGUCGGGUAAGUUCCGACCUGCACGAAUGGUCUAAUGAGUUGCACACUGUCUCCUCCACGAGCCCAGUGAAAUUGUAGUAUCGGUGAAGAUGCCGGUUACCCGUCACGGGACGGAAAGACCCCAUGAACCUUCACUACAACUUUGCAUUGAUUUUGAAUUUUUGAUGUGUAGGAUAGUUGGGAGACUUUGAAGCGGUGUCGCUAGGCAUCGUGGAGUCAACGUUGAAAUACCAACCUUUAAACAUUUAGAAUCUAACCCGCCAAUGGUGGGCACAGUGCAUGGUGGGUAGUUUGACUGGGGUGGUCGCCUCCUAAAAUGUAACGGAGGCUUGCAAAGGUUCCCUCAGUACGGUUGGUAAUCGUACAUAGAGCGUAUUAGUAUAAGGGAGCUUGACUGUGAGACUUACAAGUCGAGCAGGGACGAAAGUCGGCUAAAGUGAUCCGGUGGUUCUGUAUGGAAGGGCCAUCGCUCAAAGGAUAAAAGGUACUCUGGGGAUAACAGGCUGAUCUCCCCCAAGAGCUCAUAUCGACGGGGAGGUUUGGCACCUCGAUGUCGGUUCGUCACAUCCUGGGGCUGGAGAAGGUCCCAAGGGUUCGGCUGUUCGCCGAUUAAAGUGGCACGUGAACUGGGUUCAGAACGUCGCAAGACAGUUCGGUCCCUAUCUGUGAUGGGCGUUAGUAAAUUGAGAGGACAUGACCUUAGUACGAGAGGACCGGGUCGUAUGUACCGCUGGUGUAUCUGUUGUGCCGCCAGGUGCAAUGCAGAGUAGCUAUGUACAGGCAGGAUAAACGCUGAAAGCAUCUAAGCGUGAAACCUUCCUCAAGAUGAGUUUACUUUUAAGGGUCGUCGAAGACUACGACGUUGAUAGGCUAUAGGUAUAAAGGUGGUAACAUCAAAGCCGAGUAGUACUAAUUACCCGUUAGCUUUACU